GAUGAACGCUGGCGGCGUGCCUAAUACAUGCAAGUCGAGCGAACAGACGAGGAGCUUGCUCCUCUGACGUUAGCGGCGGACGGGUGAGUAACACGUGGAUAACCUACCUAUAAGACUGGGAUAACUUCGGGAAACCGGAGCUAAUACCGGAUAAUAUAUUGAACCGCAUGGUUCAAUAGUGAAAGACGGUUUUGCUUUCACUUAUAGAUGGAUCCGCGCCGCAUUAGCUAGUUGGUAAGGUAACGGCUUACCAAGGCAACGAUGCGUAGCCGACCUGAGAGGGUGAUCGGCAACACUGGAACUGAGACACGGUCCAGACUCCUACGGGAGGCAGCAGUAGGGAAUAUUCCGCAAUGGGCGAAAGCCUGACGGAGCAACGCCGCGUGAGUGAUGAAGGUCUUCGGAUCGUAAAACUCUGUUAUUAGGGAAGAACAAAUGUGUAAGUAACUAUGCACGUCUUGACGGUACCUAAUCAGAAAGCCACGGCUAACUACGUG
rnacentral:rRNA from 1 species